rnacentral:rRNA from 1 species
UACGAAGGGGGCUAGCGUUGCUCGGAAUCACUGGGCGUAAAGGGUGCGUAGGCGGGUCUUUAAGUCCGGGGUGAAAUCCUGGAGCUCAACUCCAGAACUGCCUUUGAUACUGAAGAUCUUGAGUUCGGGAGAGGUGAGUGGAACUGCGAGUGUAGAGGUGAAAUUCGUAGAUAUUCGCAAGAACACCGGUGGCGAAGGCGGCCCACUGGUCCGGUACUGACGCUGAGGUGCGAAAGCGUGGGGAGCAAACAGG